rnacentral:lncRNA from 7 species
GUUAUGCAAAGGGAACAGCUGGGAGGGAUGCAAGCCUUUUUCUUCAGGUUUUUUUUUCCAUCUCUCUCAGUUCUUGUCGAAGAUAUUGAACUGGACAUUUAGUGGAGCUCCAGUGGAUUGAACAGCUCAGAAACAUUGAUUUGAAGCUGUGCUGAACAUACUUCGUACCUCUGUUGAAGAUGCAUUUCCCUGGGUCUAAAGGAAGGUGUUUUCUCAGAUGCACCCACCCUUAUGCCAUCUCAAAGAGGAGCAGGGGCUGACUGCUGCACUACAGGACUUGCAGGAAGGGAUUUCUGGGCAAAUUGUAUCAUGAACAGAAUAUACCUCUGUUGCAUUGGCUGUGAAGCAGAUUGCAAAACCUGUCUAGAGUUAUGCAAGUGUGAUACAAAGUUAGGGAACUCAACCUGUGUUUUGAUCUUGAUUUAU